GAAAUCUUCUGUGCAGGUCCCAGCCACUCCAUGUCUCCAUGGCAGAUCAGAUGCGGGUGGCUGUCUGCGAGGAGAGUAUAGAACAUGGAGCAGAUUGUCUUCUUAGGUGCACACGGGCUGACACUCUGCAGAUGCAAACGUGCCGUUGAAACAAAGCAAGAGUGCUGUGUGGCUCCCAGAGCCUUGCCUGGGCCUGCGUUUCCUCCUCUUCCACUCAAGACUCACGUUAGCAGGGUUUUCCUGUUUCUAGACAACAGUCAUCAGCAUCAGAGAAGAAGGACUUGAAUUGUCUCUGACUUUCAGAACAGGGUUACAGACAACAUAGACAAACUCCGGGGAGAAUUUAUUGGAUGAAUAGUCAAAGCCUGAGUUCUAGGAGCUGGAGCAGUGAGCAGGUUGAUGCUACAAACUGGAUCCCGGGGCUCCCGAAGCCGAGUCUAAGGACCUUUCCUCUGCAGCUGACGCCUUCACGCCUGGUCUUUGGUGACUUGUCAUCAGCCCUCAGGAAGACAGGGCUGUGCCCUACAGCACGGACACCGAUAUCAUCAUUUCUCUGUAUCAGGCACUUCUCAGGCAAAGGGAAUGUUGGGAGAGGAAUGCAGUUUUUAAAGUUUUUUUUUAAAUUGAUAUAUUUUAUUUGAACUGUUAUAUAGUAUAGAAACAUUUUGUAGAACAGCAAAUGUUAUUAAUUUAGAAAGCGGUUUACCAUAAAAGAGAGACAUGGAAAAUAUUCAUGUGCUGGGCUGGAGGAGUGCUUGGCUGGUAUGUGUGAGGUCCUGGGUUCAAUCCCGAGGAAACCUCCUCCCCACAAAGGAAAAAAAAAAGCAGAAAAUGUUACAUGAUGACAUUUCAGAAUUCACUGCAAGUUUUUGAAGGUUCUGUGGAGGAUGAUUGACAUAAACUCCACAUAUUUGAAGGACAUGGUUUGGUAUAUUUUGGCACAUAUUGUACACAUCUGGAAAACUGCCACCUUGAUGAAGAUAAUGAGUUUACCUCACCCCUGGAUGUCUCCUUGUGCCUUUGCCUUUGUAUUCCUUCCCUGGCCUUGCUGUUCCUAAGCGCCUACUGUUUAUGUCCCCUGGAUUGGCUUGCAUUCUUUAGAGUAAAU
ensembl:lncRNA